CUUUGAGGAGAUAACUUCGGAAAUCAAGCGCUUCGACGUUCGCCUCCACCGCGAGUUUGCCAUUGAAGACGUGAAGCCCGCCACAGUGAAGGUCUACGACUAUUAUGAGCAAGAAAACAGCAACCUUGUGCCUUACUCCCUCGUGGCGUCCUGCAGUAAACAUCGCUCAUCAUUUCUUUUCAACAUUUAUUUUUCUUUUGCUAGUGCCCUUUUGUUGGAACGAAUGCGAGAAUGACAACACGAGUCAGAAACACAACAUUAAGGCAAACACGUAUUUACCUUUUCGCACCUAUAUAUUUUAUGUCUCUCUCUUUCUCUCUCUCUCUCUCUAUUUGCCUUCACCAGAAUCAUGCUUUUCCGCUUUCUCUAUAGCG
rnacentral:lncRNA from 1 species